GUCAGGGUAUUGAAAGAGUAUAUAUAAACUAGUAGCCAUAGAGACUAGCUAUGACACAGCUCAUCCUGCACCGUGACAGCAAACAAGGCAUUAGUUGAAGGCUCUUCCAGUCGAGAUGAAAAGGCUCAUCCUGGCAGUUUUCGCUCUGACACUGCUGGCACAAGCUGUUGUGUCACUGAAAUGUUAUUCCUGCCCCUACGGAAGAACUUGUGCCAAUACCAUCCAGGAAUGCAGUCGUGACCAGGAUCAAUGCCUUUCACUGAUUUUCCCACGUCAGGGUAAACAAGCUAAACGAUGUGCCAGACAAUUCGAGUGUGGCCUCCUUACCAGUGGGCUUCCAGACACAAUAGCUUUUUGCUGUAGAACUGACCUAUGCAACAGAUAGGUUGAAGCUCAUCUGUCCUGAAGGCUUACAGGACAUCUCCCUGCUGUGCCAUAUGCAUAGAUGUCCUCAGCGAGGGGGAUCUCCUCCCUCUGUGUCUCUCCCACUCUCCCCCUGCCCACACCACACUGUUUUUCUUUUACUCCCCUAGUCAAAAGUUGUUCUUUGUCAAGCUUGCUACUAGCACCUGUACUCAUAGAGCUAUGGGGGCAUCCAUACACUGCAAUGAAAUGAAUAAUAAAUGGUAGUACCUCCCCAAUCAGCUAUGUGGCGUUUUAUCCAUGUUGUCCCUGUUUUUGAAAAAUAUGACCGUAUUUCCAGUGUGACUGAUGCACAUGAUGGUAGAGUUGGUAAAGGCCGAUACAGACCAGACAGCAGGGGCAAGCUUUCCUCCUGAGUACCCCAUCCAUGCUGGCCUGCCACUCAGCUGGUAUCCCAGGCCUUCCUUAACAAACUCCUAGUUCUGCCAAUUCACCUCAAUGUUGCAUCACAGACAGAUGUCCAUUCCUCAGAGCCACUUGAGACACUGAGCACUGCUCAUUCCCCUCAAUCCAGCCCUUGAGACCUCUCCCACAUACCCCCAUUCAGAGGCAUAAAUGGCCACUACUGUGCCCUAGGCAAUGGUGGUACGCAGUGCUGGGGAAGCAGCUGGAGGAUUGCUGUUGCUGGAGGAGAUGUUAUCUCCCAUUUUGGUUUCCUACAUAUGUCAAGCCAGGGCUGCUGCAUGGAAGGUAUGGGAUGUGUUGGGAGGAGUGGGAGAGGCAGGAGAGGAGGAGGUGGGUAGGAGAGGGAAGCGUCCUUAUAGCUCCAUCCCAGUGCCCCUUCCUGGUACCCUUUUAGUGCCCAGGACUUGUGCCCUGCUUGCUGUCCCAUGAUUACACUGAUAUCCCCAUUAUGCCAAUCCUGGCCUCCACACAAUUGCAGCUAGAGGCUUCCUCUUGACACUCAGUACUCCCUUGGAGCCCUCCACUCCCCCAACAGCUCUGCCGCUGAAUUUAAAGAAUACACUGAUAGGUAAAUUAGCUGAAGCUGAGCUCCAUACCAUGGAAGCUGCAUUGCUACCAAUGCCCAAGCUGAUUAGUUUAAAGAUAGCUCAGCACUGUGAGCACUGCUGUGACUUACCUGGGCCUGAUAUGAAGCUUACACAUAGUCUUAGCUUUGCAUUAAACCAGACAGAAACAAUGACAUUACAGUGGGUGCAUCUACAUGAGACACUUUAUAGCACUUUAGAUUAAUGUGCAGUUAAGCAUUAAUCCAUGGGACCAUGGAAGCCCCACUAACAAUGUUUUGCUUUUAUUUAUUUAAUUAUCUGUUCUACCUGCAAUGAAUAAUUGUGCGUGGUUUCAAAAUAGACAAGAUCCCUAUCUUCUGUAUUUACCCCACAGUGCCCUGGUAUUGCCUUUUCCCUCCAUCUGUUUACU